AGUGAACGCUGGCGGUAGGCCUAACACAUGCAAGUCGAACGGCAGCACAGUAAUAGCUUGCUCUUACGGGUGGCGAGUGGCGGACGGGUGAGAAAUACAUCGGAAUCUACUUUUUCUUGGGGGAUAACGUAGGGAAACUUACGCUAAUACCGCAUACGACCUACGGGUGAAAGCAGGGGAUCUUCGGACCUUGCGCGAUUGAAUGAGCCGAUGUCGGAUUAGCUAGUUGGUGGGGUAAAGGCCCACCAAGGCGACGAUCCGUAGCUGGUCUGAGAGGAUGAUCAGCCACACUGGAACUGAGACACGGUCCAGACUCCUACGGGAGGCAGCAGUGGGGAAUAUUGGACAAUGGGCGCAAGCCUGAUCCAGCCAUACCGCGUGGGUGAAGAAGGCCUUCGGGUUGUAAAGCCCUUUUGUUGGGAAAGAAAAGCAGCAGGUUAAUACCUCGCUGUUCUGACGGUACCCAAAGAAUAAGCACCGGCUAACUUCGUG
rnacentral:rRNA from 1 species